GACGAACGCUAGCGGCGUGCCUAACACAUGCAAGUAGAACGCUGAAGCUUGGUGCUUGCACCGAGCGGAUGAGUUGCGAACGGGUGAGUAACGCGUAGGUAACCUGCCUGGUAGCGGGGGAUAACUAUUGGAAACGAUAGCUAAUACCGCAUAAGAGUAGAUGUUGCAUGACAUUUGCUUAAAAGGUGCAAUUGCAUCACUACCAGAUGGACCUGCGUUGUAUUAGCUAGUUGGUGAGGUAACGGCUCACCAAGGCAACGAUACAUAGCCGACCUGAGAGGGUGAUCGGCCACACUGGGACUGAGACACGGCCCAGACUCCUACGGGAGGCAGCAGUAGGGAAUCUUCGGCAAUGGACGGAAGUCUGACCGAGCAACGCCGCGUGAGUGAAGAAGGUUUUCGGAUCGUAAAGCUCUGUUGUAAGAGAAGAACGAGUGUGAGAGUGGAAAGUGCACACUGUGACGGUAUCUUACCAGAAAGGGACGGCUAACUACGU
rnacentral:rRNA from 1 species